rnacentral:rRNA from 1 species
CCUACGGGCAGCAGCAGUGGGGAAUAUUGGACAAUGGGCGAAAGCCUGAUCCAGCCAUGCCGCGUGUGUGAAGAAGGCCUUCGGGUUGUAAAGCACUUUCAGUGGGGAAGAAAGCCUUGGGGCUAAUACCCUCGAGGAAGGACAUCACCCACAGAAGAAGCACCGGCUAACUCCGUGCCAGCAGCCGCGGUAAUACGGAGGGUGCGAGCGUUAAUCGGAAUUACUGGGCGUAAAGCGCGCGUAGGCGGUCUGAUAAGCCGGUUGUGAAAGCCCCGGGCUCAACCUGGGAACGGCAUCCGGAACUGUCAGGCUAGAGUGCAGGAGAGGAAGGUAGAAUUCCCGGUGUAGCAGUGAAAUGCGUAGAGAUCGGGAGGAAUACCAGUGGCGAAGGCGGCCUUCUGGACUGACACUGACGCUGAGGUGCGAAAGCGUGGGUAGCAAACAGGAUUAGAUACCCUAGUAGUC